AGAGUUUGAUUAUGGCUCAGGAUGAACGCUAGCGGUGUGCUUAAAGCAUGCAAGUCGAACGUGAUCCCUUGGAUUCGUCUGGGGGUGAAAGUGGCGAACGGGUGAGUAACGCGUUGGUGAUCUGCCCCGGAGUGGGGGAUAACUAUUGGAAACGAUAGCUAAUACCCCAGAUGUUAUCGUCUUUGGAAAACGAUGACUAAAUGUUCAGGCGCUCCGGGAGGAGCAGCGUCCCAUCAGCUAGUUGGUAAGGUAACGGCUUACCAAGGCAAAGACGGGUAGGGGGCGUGAGAGCGUGGCCCCCCACACUGGUACUGACACACGGACCAGAUACCUACGGGUAGCAGCAGCUAGGAAUAUUGGACAAUGGGCGAAAGCUGAUCCAGCAACACCGCGUGGAGGACGAAGGCCUUCGGGUCGUAAACUCCUUUUUGGGGGGAUGAGAAAGGACAGUACCCCCAGAAUAAGGCCCGGCUAACUACGUGCCAGCUAGCCGCGGUAAUACGUAGGGGCCAAGCGUUAUCCGGAUUUUCUGGGCGUAAAGCGCAUGUUAGGCGGUUUGCUAAGUCGGACGUGAAAGCUCCUGGCUCAACUAGGAGAGGUCGUUCGAUACUAGUAGACUAGAGGGUGGUAGAGGAGAGCGGAAUUCCAGGUGUAGCGGUGAAAUGCGUAGAUAUCUGGGUGGAACACCCGUGGCGAAAGCGCUCUCUGCCACGU
rnacentral:rRNA from 1 species